rnacentral:misc_RNA from 1 species
UAAAGUGCGAUAUGUAGUGCGAUUUGCAUGAAUUGUGAGUCAUCUAAUCUUUGAACGCAACUUGCGCCUCUAUGAGGCAUGUCUGUUUGAGUGCCGUAUACUUCUGCAGCAAUGCGAAAUGACCAUGUUUAUUUGACUUGGUUUAAAAGUAGCCAGAUAAUGGUUUUGUGAAUUAACCGAGUGCUAAGCAUUCUCAGUUUAAUCCACCGAUAUCAUAAAAUUAAAACUUUUAUUUGGCCUCAAAUCAGGCAAGACUACCCGCUGAACUUAA